rnacentral:rRNA from 1 species
GAUGAACGCUGGCGGCGUGCCUAAUACAUGCAAGUCGAGCGAACAGAUGAGGAGCUUGCUCCUCUGACGUUAGCGGCGGACGGGUGAGUAACACGUGGAUAACCUACCUAUAAGACUGGGAUAACUUCGGGAAACCGGAGCUAAUACCGGAUAAUAUAUUGAACCGCAUGGUUCAAUAGUGAAAGACGGUUUUGCUGUCACUUAUAGAUGGAUCCGCGCCGCAUUAGCUAGUUGGUAAGGUAACGGCUUACCAAGGCGACGAUGCGUAGCCGACCUGAGAGGGUGAUCGGCCACACUGGAACUGAGACACGGUCCAGACUCCUACGGGAGGCAGCAGUAGGGAAUCUUCCGCAAUGGGCGAAAGCUUGACGGAGCAACGCCGCGUGAGUGAUGAAGGUCUUCGGAUCGUAAAACUCUGUUAUUAGGGAGGAACAAAUGUGUAAGUAACUAUGCACGUCUUGACGGUACCUAAUCAGAAAGCCACGGCUAACUACGUG